ACAGCAGCCGCCACGGUAAUACAGAGGGUGCGAGCGUUAAUCGGAUUUACUGGGCGUAAAGCGUGCGUAGGCGGCUUUUUAAGUCGGAUGUGAAAUCCCUGAGCUUAACUUAGGAAUUGCAUUCGAUACUGGGAAGCUAGAGUAUGGGAGAGGAUGGUAGAAUUCCAGGUGUAGCGGUGAAAUGCGUAGAGAUCUGGAGGAAUACCGAUGGCGAAGGCAGCCAUCUGGCCUAAUACUGACGCUGAGGUGCGAAAGCGUGGGGAGCAAACAGGAUUAGAUACCCCAGUAGUCCCUGUCUCUUAUAC
rnacentral:rRNA from 1 species